GAUGAACGCUGGCGGCGUGCCUAAUACAUGCAAGUCGAGCGAACGGACGAGGAGCUUGCUCCUCUGACGUUAGCGGCGGACGGGUGAGUAACACGUGGAUAACCUACCUAUAAGACUGGGAUAACUUCGGGAAACCGGAGCUAAUACCGGAUAAUAUAUUGAACCGCAUGGUUCAAUAGUGAAAGACGGUUUUGCUGUCACUUAUAGAUGGAUCCGCGCCGCAUUAGCUAGUUGGUAAGGUAACGGCUUACCAAGGCAACGAUUCGUAGCCGACCUGAGAGGGUGAUCGGCCACACUGGAACUGAGACACGGUCCAGACUCCUACGGGAGGCAGCAGUAGGGAAUCUUCCGCAAUGGGCGAAAGCUUGACGGAGCAACGCCGCGUGAGUGGUGAAGGUCUUCGGAUCGUAAAACUCUGUUAUUAGGGAAGAACAAAUGUGUAAGUAACUAUGCACGUCUUGACGGUACCUAAUCAGAAAGCCACGGCUAACUACGUG
rnacentral:rRNA from 1 species